UCGUCGUUAGUCAGAUUCAUCACAGUACGUGGUUUAGUUCUUCACGUAUCCUACUCGUAUUAGGAACCCCUACAAUGGGUGUCGCAAAAUUUAUUUCGUUUUUGUGUUUGGCACUCGUGACACAACAGUUUUUAGGAAACUAUGCGGAUGCGAUCGAAAUUGAGGGAUCAAUAUACGGCGGUCUCCGUUUAGGACUGCGAUCAUCAAUAUUGAAUUUUUUCUCCCCUCGCCCAAGCUGCUUGUCAAGGUAUUCGCUACUAUGUGGUUUCUUUUUUCGACCGCGUUGCUGUUCUACUAGUUGUUGUUCAUUCUUUUAUUGAUUUCUAAUAUUGAUUUGUAAUAUCUUGUCUUACAUGAACAAUAAAUGUCAAAA